rnacentral:rRNA from 1 species
UUGAAACCCAAAGGACUUGACGGUGCUUUAGAUCCACCUAGAGGAGCCUGUUCUAGAACCGAUAAUCCCCGUUAAACCUCACCUUUCCUUGCCCUGUCAGCCUAUAUACCGCCGUCGUCAGUUUACUCUGUGAAGAUUCUGAAGUAAGCACAAUCGGUACAACCCAAAACGCCAGGUCGAGGUGUAGCCAAUGGAAAGGGAAGAAAUGGGCUACAUUCAAUAGAAAAUAAUGAAUACGGAUGAUAUUUUGAAAAUAGAUAUCUGAAGGAGGAUUUAGCAGUAAGUAGAGAAUAGAGCGCUCUACUGAAAUUGGCCCUGAAGCGCGUACACACCGCCCGUCACUCUCCCCGAGCUAAAAAAACACAUUUCUAAUAAGCAAAACCUGCAAAGGGGAGGCAAGUCGUAACAUGGUAAGUGUACCGGAAGGUGCACUUGGAAAAACUCUGGGCAUAGUUUAACAAUAAAACAUCUCCCUUACACCGAGAAAAUAUCCGUGCAAAUCGGGUUUCCCAGAAACCUAAUAGCUAGCCCAACUAUCUAAAACCAAUUGAUCACCUUAAAUAAUCCAACAAAGACUAAAUUAACAAAACAAACCAUUUUUCCAUCUAAGUAUAGGAGAUAGAAAAGAACCUAGGCGCAAUAGAGAAAGUACCGUGAGGGAAGGCU